rnacentral:lncRNA from 1 species
CCAGAGGUCCCACAGCCUCCUGUGUCUGCCCAUCCCUUGCCUCCAAUGUCCCCUUUCCUGAAGUUGUUCCAAAUGACCUGUAGUUGCCGCUGCUGGGCCUGGCUUCUGCAGGGCUGGCCACUCCCCUUCACGUAGUUCCUGCCUUAAGAUGUUUACAAGUAGAAAAAGCCCUUUGUUUGGGGCUCAAACUUUCUGGACCUAUGUCCGGCUGAGCUGGUGAUCACCUUAAUUUAAUAAACUCUCCUGAACCUUUUCUGUCUCUCCAGUCUUUGAUGGUCCUGCAACACAACGUCCGGUUUGUGAGCAUGCACU